AACGAGGAUGGCCAGCCGCUGAUAGAGGGGGAACUGAAGGAGAAGCAGGUUCGCUGGAAGUUCAUCAAACGCUGGAAGACUCGUUACUUCACCCUGGCAGGAAACCAGCUCCUCUUCCGGAAAGGAAAAUCAAAGAAUGAGCUAGACGACAGCACCAUCGAGCUGAGCAAAGUGCAGAGCGUCAAGGUGGUGGCUAAGAAGCGGCGUGAGCGGGGUCUCCCUCGGGACUUUGAGAUCUUCACGGGCAGUGAGACGUAUGCCCUGAAGGCUUGUGAUGAGAAACAUGCUGAGGAGUGGCUCCAGUGUAUUAAUGUUGCCGUGGCCCAGGCCAGAGAGAGAGAGAGAGAACAGAGAGGCCACCACCUACCUGUGACCUCAUGACCUGGAAGAUAUUCUACUGUGACCCGUUCCUGAACCAGAAACACAACAUACAGCCCCGUACUACUGUACCAGCUACUAACAACAGCCCUGUGAUGUCCACUGUUUCUGAUCAUCUGACAGCCCUGUGAUGUCCACUGUUUCUGAUCAUCUGACAGCCCUGUGAUGUCCACUGUUUCUGAUCAUCUGACAGCCCUGUGAUGUCCACUGUUUCUGAUCAUCUGACAGCCCUGUGAUGUCCACUGUUUCUGAUCAUCUGACAGCCCUGUGAUGUCCACUGUUUCUGAUCAUCUGACAGCCCUGUGAUGUCCACUGUUUCUGAUCAUCUGACAGCCCUGUGAUGUCCACUGUUUCUGAUCAUCUGACAGCCCUGUGAUGUCCACUGUUUCUGAUCAUCUGACAGUCCUGUGAUGUCCACUGUUUCUGAUCAUCUGACAGCCCUGUGAUGUCUACUGUUUCUGAUCAUCUGACAGCCCUGUGAUGUCCACUGUUUCUGAUCAUCUGACAGCCCUGUGAUGUCCACUGUUUCUGAUCAUCUGACAGCCCUGUGAUGUCCACUGUUUCUGAUCAUCUGACAGCUGUGGGGCAGGCGAGACUGAUAUCCAGACAUCAUUGCCAGCAUUUUUGAGAGUCUAUCUGUAAAGACAUGUAUAUAUAUUGCUUCAGUAUUUACAGCAAUAAAAGAUCUUAC